rnacentral:rRNA from 1 species
CCCUUAGAUGUUCUGGGCCGCACGCGCGCUACACUGACGAAUGCAACGAGCUUAUAACCUUGGCCGAAAGGUCUGGGUAAUCUCCAAAUUUCGUCGUGAUGGGGGUAGAUUAUUGCAAUUAUUAAUCUUCAACGAGGAAUGCCUAGUAAGCGCAAGUCAUCAGCUUGCGUUGAUUACGUCCCUGCCCUUUGUACACACCGCCCGUCGCUCCUACCGAUUGAAUGGUCCGGUGAAGCGUUCGGACCGUGGCCUUUGGACGGUUCGCCGUCUGUUGGCUGCGGGAAGUUCGUUAAACCUUAUCAUUUAGAGGAAGGAGAAGUCGUAACA